GAUGAAGAACGCAGCGAAAUGCGAUACGUAAUGUGAAUUGCAGAAUUCAGUGAAUCAUCGAAUCUUUGAACGCAUAUUGCGCUCUCUGGUAUUCCGGAGAGCAUGCUUGUUUGAGUAUCAGUAAACACCUCAACUUCCAUAUCUUUUUUGAAAUGGGAGUUGGACUUGAGUGAUCCCAACGCUUUUCCUCACCGAAAAGUGGCGGGUUACUUGAAAUGCAGGUGCAGCUGGACUUUUCUCUGAGCUAUAAGCAUAUAUAUUUAGUCUGCCUAAAAAACAGAUUAUUACCUUUGCUGCAGCUAACAUAAAGGAGAUUAGUUCUUGUGCUGACUGAUGCAGGAUUCACAAAGACAGGCUUCGGCCGACUUUGUAAACUCGAUCUCAAAUCAAGUAAGACUACCCGCUGAACUUAAGCAUAUCAAUAAGCGGAGGA
rnacentral:misc_RNA from 1 species